UACGAAGGGGGCUAGCGUUGCUCGGAAUCACUGGGCGUAAAGGGUGCGUAGGCGGGUCUUUUAAGUCAGGGGUGAAAUCCUGGAGCUCAACUCCAGAACUGCCUUUGAUACUGAAGAUCUUGAGUUCGGGAGAGGUGAGUGGAACUGCGAGUGUAGAGGUGAAAUUCGUAGAUAUUCGCAAGAACACCAGUGGCGAAGGCGGCUCACUGCCGCCAGACUG
rnacentral:rRNA from 1 species